rnacentral:rRNA from 1 species
GCCUGCGGUGAUGGCACGUUGAAUGGACCAGUUACCUAUGAAUCACUGAUGUUAAGCAACGUUGCGCAUGGUUAGUACCCCGACGGAAAAUCGCGUACAGGCU